CGGCGGAGGGGUGCCACAGCCUGACUUUAUACCCACCCUUUGCCUAUGUGUACCCCUAUUGCUUCCCUCGGCGGGUUCGCCCGCCGACAGGAACCAACUAAACCCUUUGCAUUAUACAUUUAACACUUCCGAUACAAAACUAAAUUAUUACAACUUUUAACAAUGGAUCUCUUGGUUCUGGCAUCGAUGAAGAACGCAGCGAAAUGCGAUAAGUAGUGUGAAUUGCAGAAUUCAGUGAAUCAUCGAAUCUUUGAACGCACAUUGCGCCCCUCGGUAUUCCGUGGGGCAUGCCUGUUCGAGCGUCAUUUACACCCUCAAGCUCUGCUUGGUGUUGGGCGUCUGUCCCGCCUCCGUGCGCGGACUCGCCUCAAAGUCAUUGGCAGCGGUCUCGUCGGCUUCUCGCGCAGCACAUUUGCGCUUCUUGGAGCCCCGGCGGAUCAGCGUCCAGCAAGCAAUUUCAUGACUUGACCUCGGAUCAGGUAGGGAUACCCGCUGAACUUAAGCA
rnacentral:rRNA from 1 species